UUACGGUCAAAUCACGCUGAAACACCGGUUCUCGUUCGAUCACCGAAGUUAAACAUCGUAGAGGCAGGUCAGUACUUAGAUGGGGGACCGCUUGGGAACACCUG
rnacentral:rRNA from 1 species